GACGAACGCUGGCGGCGUGCCUAAUACAUGCAAGUAGAACGCUGAAGAGAGGAGCUUGCUCUUCUUGGAAGAGUUGCGAACGGGUGAGUAACGCGUAGGUAACCUGCCUUGUAGCGGGGGAUAACUAUUGGAAACGAUAGCUAAUACCGCAUAACAAUGGGUGACCCAUGUCAUUCAUUUGAAAGGGGCAACUGCUCCACUACAAGAUGGACCUGCGUUGUAUUAGCUAGUAGGUGAGGUAACGGCUCACCUAGGCGACGAUACAUAGCCGACCUGAGAGGGUGAUCGGCCACACUGGGACUGAGACACGGCCCAGACUCCUACGGGAGGCAGCAGUAGGGAAUCUUCGGCAAUGGGGGCAACCCUGACCGAGCAACGCCGCGUGAGUGAAGAAGGUUUUCGGAUCGUAAAGCUCUGUUGUAAGUCAAGAACGAGUGUGAGAGUGGAAAGUUCACACUAUGACGGUAGCUUACCAGAAAGGGACGGCUAACUACGUGCCAGCAGCCGCGGUAAUACGUAGGUCCCGAGCGUUGUCCGGAUUUAUUGGGCGUAAAGCGAGCGCAGGCGGUUUGAUAAGUCUGAAGUUAAAGGCUGUGGCUCAACCAUAGUUUGCUUUGGAAACUGUCAAACUUGAGUGCAGAAGGGGAGAGUGGAAUUCCAUGUGUAGCGGUGAAAUGCGUAGAUAUAUGGAGGAACACCGGUGGCGAAAGCGGCUCUCUGGUCUGUAACUGACGCUGAGGAGCGAAAGCUAGGGGAGCAAACAGG
rnacentral:rRNA from 1 species